rnacentral:rRNA from 1 species
UGCGAGUCAUUGUAGUAAUACAAGGCAGACGGCUCAGUAACGCGUAGUCAACCUAACCUAUGGACGGGAAUAACCUCGGGAAACUGAGUAUAAUGCCCGAUAGAACACUAUACCUGGAAUGGUUUGUGUUCCAAAUGAUUUAUCGCCGUAGGAUGGGACUGCGGCCUAUCAGUUUGUUGGUGAGGUAAUGGCCCACCAAGACUAUUACAGGUACGGGCCCUGAGAGGAGUAGCCCGGAGAUGGGUACUGAGACACGGACCCAGGCCCUAUGGGGCGCAGCAGGCGAGAAAACUUUGCAAUGUGCGAAAGCACGACAAGGUUAAUCCGAGUGGUUUGUGCUAAACGAACCUUUUGACAGUCCUAGAAACACUGUUGAAUAAGGGGUGGGCAAGUUCUGGUGUCAGCCGCCGCGGUAAAACCAGCACCUCAAGUGGUCAGGAUGAUUAUUGGGCCUAAAGCAUCCGUAGCCGGCUCUGUUAGUUUUCGGUUAAAUCUGUACGCUCAACGUACAGGCUGCCGGGAAUACUGCAGAGCUAGGGAGUGGGAGAGGUAGACGGUACUCGGUAGGAAGGGGUAAAAUCCUUUGAUCUAUUGAUGACCACCUGUGGCGAAGGCGGUCUACCAGAACACGUCCGACGGUGAAGGAUGAAAGCUGGGGGAGCAAACCGGAUUAGAUACCCGGGUAGUCCCAGCUGUAAACUAUGCAAACUCAGUGACGCAUUGGCUUGUGGCCAAUGCAGUGCUGCAGGGAAGCCGUUAAGUUUGCCGCCUGGGAAGUACGUACGCAAGUAUGAAACCUAAAAGGAAUUGGCGGGGG